rnacentral:rRNA from 1 species
UACGUAGGGCGCGAGCGUUGUCCGGAAUUAUUGGGCGUAAAGAGCUCGUAGGCGGUUUGUCGCGUCUGCUGUGAAAUCGUGGGGGCUCAACCCCCCAGCCUGCAGUGGGUACGGGCAGACUAGAGUGCGGUAGGGGAGAUUGGAAUUCCUGGUGUAGCGGUGGAAUGCGCAGAUAUCAGGAGGAAUACCCAUAGCGAAGGCAGCUCGCUGGGACGUUACUGACGCUGAGGCGCGAAAGCGUGGGGGAGCGAACAGG